rnacentral:rRNA from 1 species
GUGGGGAAUAUUGGACAAUGGGGGGAACCCUGAUCCAGCCAUGCCGCGUGUGUGAAGAAGGCCUUUUGGUUGUAAAGCACUUUAAGCGAGGAGGAGGCUUACCUGGUUAAUACCUGGGAUAAGUGGACGUUACUCGCAGAAUAAGCACCGGCUAACUCUGUGCCAGCAGCCGCGGUAAUACAGAGGGUGCAAGCGUUAAUCGGAUUUACUGGGCGUAAAGCGCGCGCAGGUGGCUAAUUAAGUCAAAUGUGAAAUCCCCGAGCUUAACUUGGGAAUUGCAUUCGAUACUGGUUAGCUAGAGUAUGGGAGAGGAUGGUAGAAUUCCAGGUGUAGCGGUGAAAUGCGUAGAGAUCUGGAGGAAUACCGAUGGCGAAGGCAGCCAUCUGGCCUAAUACUGACACUGAGGUGCGAAAGCAUGGGGAGCAAACAGGAUUAGAAACCCGGGUAGUCC